rnacentral:rRNA from 1 species
CUGGGAUAACUUCGGGAAACCGGAGCUAAUACCGGAUAAUAUUUCGAACCGCAUGGUUCGAUAGUGAAAGAUGGUUUUGCUAUCACUUAUGGAUGGACCCGCGCCGUAUUAGCUAGUUGGUAAGGUAACGGCUUACCAAGGCGACGAUACGUAGCCGACCUGAGAGGGUGAUCGGCCACACUGGAACUGAGACACGGUCCAGACUCCUACGGGAGGCAGCAGUG